ensembl:lncRNA
CCAGCCACCAGACGGUAUCAGAGAGGCCGUGGAGGGGAAACCAAGUCCCCGAAGUCCGUUAUCAGAGCAGAAAUGCCUUCAGUCACCUGACCCUGACUGACCCCACUGACCUAUCCCAACCCCUGGGAGGGAGCGGUCCUCUGUGUCCACCUUGCAGAUAAGGAAACUGAGGCUCCGAGAGGCCAGUCACCACCUGAGGUCGCUGAGCCUCCAAGGGGUUCAAAGCUUUGGUCUGCGCCUGCCCAGGAGCCGCCAGGGUGGCCCAGGCAGGGGGCAGACCAUAGGGUUCCUCAGGCUGUGAGGGCUGUCAGGCCCCUCUGGGACCCUAUGCCACCCACUCCACCGGAGCAUUUCAGGUCAGAGAAGAGGGCGUCGCCCUCCAACACACCCCACCAGAGAAGAGGCAGAAGCGAAGGAAUCUGAUCCAUGCACAGAAAAUCGAUCCCGUCACAGACACCGAGGUGGGGGAACCGGAGCUGGUGUGGGGGAGCCCCUCACAUGCCAGGAGAGGAGCAAUGGGGGUGCCCCGAGCAACAGGUGGAACUGAGGGAGGGCCCCGAAAGGCAGGAGACCCGGGGGAUUCCCUCUGAACCAAAGGUAUGGCAAGAACACGAGCUCCCAGGGCGGGGAUCCAUCUGGAACGCACGCUGGGCGGGACGAGGGAUGUUGGUCAUAGCAAUGCUCCAGCUCUGCUGCCCUUGUCAGCCUGUCUGUGUGAUGGGAGGCCAGUAGGCCAAUAGAGGCUGCUUUGGAGGGGUUGGGAAAGGGCCUGGGGCCUGGCACCUCCCAUCGGAGCCCACUCGACUCCUGUGCCCCACUGCCAGCCCUGCCCUGUUGUCAGGGAAAAGGACUCAGCUUGCCCAGAACAACCCCUGGUGGCAGGGGUCUCAGCCUCAGGACCUCUGGGGCCCCAGCCAGCCGUCCUGAUCCCCGGCUUCCUCCCACCUCCGGGUGGGGGCUAGGGGGCUGGGGCCGGCUCCAUCAGGGUGGGGAGAACCCAGCAUCUAGCUGGGCCAAACCUGAAAAGCCAGUUUCAUCCUUGAAUCUUCUCUGCCAGGAAGUCCCAAGGCUGGGGCCUUCCCGGGCAGAGGGCUAGGGCCUCCAGACCCAGGCCCCGCCCACCCAGACAGACACACACAAACACAACCCCAAGCUGCACACAUACAAGAAGGAACCCGGUCAGGACCAUCUGGGCCUUGGGCAGGCACAGCUGGGGCACCCGCUGCGCAUUCCCCACACAGCCCCAGAGAAGGGCCCCCAGCAGGGCAGACGGCGGGGUCCGCCCCCUGCACCCUAAGCACCCGGGGACCUGCCACCUCCCAGCCAAGAGGCCUGCUCCAAAGCACCUCUAGCGGCCUCAGGCUCAGCCCCGGCCCCUCCCCUUGACCACUGAGCACGGUAGGGCGUCUUCGGGAGUAGCUCCCGGCUCACUGCACUUCCACCGUCUAGAGAUGAGGCAGAUGGGGCUCGGAAGCGGAAGGGGGAUCCGGCCCCCACUGUCAGCUCCACAGCUCCUGCUGUUCCUGCUGAUACUAUUCCCAUCCCCAGUGAGGACGGCUGGGACAGGGGCGAUCCCGAAAAGUCCCACCCUCUGAGCCGGAGUUUCGACUUGGAGACACCACCCACCGGUGGCGGCAGAGAAGGAAAAUGGCAUGGCAAGGGGGCCCAAAAAUACCUGGGCCCAGGGCCCAGCAGCACUGGCAGCACGCUCCAGGAAAGGAGGAUGCAGCCCCCACACACCUCCUCCUGCUCCCUCUCCACUCAAGGAGCCUCUGACCCCCCAGCGCCCGUCAGAUACCGAGGGCCUAGGAGGCCAGUCAGGAUGCCAGAAGCCACCCUGCUGAGAAGCCAAAGCAGGACUCUGACCCAACUCUCCCAUCGACCGUGUCAGCCCUCCCUACGUUAGACAGGACACUGAGCCAGUGAGCUGGGUGCCCUGGGACAGUGCUGUGCUGGAACUUGGCCUCUGUGGCUGGUAGAGCCCCUGUCCUUUCUCUCAAGGCCGCAGAGACUGACGGCCCCACUGCAGGCCGUGAGCCCUCCCUGCAGGGCACAGAGCAGCCCACCCCAACGCUGACCCCUUUCAAAGCAUCGAGGGUGUCCUCACCUCCAUCUUCCAUUGGCAUCCUCCAAUAAGCCUCUCCCAGCCCAGCAGCAGGCACGUGGACGGAGGCGGCCCACGCCCCUCCUGCCCAGCACCACCUUCUGUCCCUCAGCCCGCCUGCCGGCCCUGCAGGCCACAGUGGGAAUGCUCAGCCCACCACUUCCAGCCUGUGGUGGGGCCUCAGACCACAAACCAGGAAGUGGGGGGUGGGGGGGUGCAGGGGUUGCGCAAGCCCCGGCACUCAGGCCCGAACAUCUGGAGAAGUGGGUUGCUGGCACCGGCCCUGCCUCCUCCCCCUGGGAGCCAGGGCUGCCCUCCUGGCCUCUCUCUCCUCUUCCUAAGGUGGGGAUAAAACACCCCUCUGGGAACGUGUGGACUCCCCAUGUUUUCUGCAAGGCCUGGCACCAUUUGUGAAAUCCAAAUAAAAAUUAACACAAAA